AAGAAAGGAAAAAUCCAAAUUCAGAAGAUAAAGGAAGCGAAUAUGGAUAAAAUCUAACAAAAUUCAGACUGACAGGAAGUAAAAGUAAGGUGAAAAAACAAAGGGAGACAAUAAGAAGCUCAAAGAAAACUCCAACUGCAAGAGAGCAACUUAGAAGACGUCGUCAAUUAAAGAGCAUUGUUGAGCAGGCCGAGGCACGGAGUUAGCAGCAAACAGCAGCAGGCGAGACAACUACAAGCAGCACUCUCCUCUCCGAAAGGACCUCCUCAGUUGAGUCAUGGAGAACUCUCCAAGUCUAUUAAAUCCACUGACUUCCCCAGCGCUGAUGGUCAUGGCCUCUGCAGCUGCUGAUUCUUCAAGAGGACCCACCGCUUCACCCUGCCAGCAGCAGUUUGGGGUGCCCGUGACAGUUGAAAAUUCAGUGCCCUUCCUCGCGCAUCUUACUCGCUUUCGCUGCCAUGUACCACCAUUCUGAGAGGCUCUCGGGUGCACGGGAGUUUCACUCUUCACACCUUCUUCCAUUUCCCCACCCUCCAACUUUCGGGCAUCCAGGCCUGGGCGGCUAUGGAACGCUGCGCCCUUUUCACCCCGACUCACAUGCCAUUUCCAGAUGAGGUGGAAAGGUUUUCAAAUGCUUAUGCAGCUGCUGUUGCAGCUGCCAAUGCCUCAGUGAGUGGUAGCAACGUAAAGCUGACCAAGCUGCCUUCCUCAGAGCCCCCACAGAUCCGCUACCUCACCUUGGAAAAAGAGACUGGGUCAGCAACCUCUGGAAUGGUGGACAAGAGAAGAGCUUCUCCAUUAUCCGCCUCUGGGUCUGUUGCUUGUCCCCGUUGGACAGUUUGAGAGCUUCAUUUCAUCAGGAAAGAUCAUCAGGACAGCAAGUGGGCAUCUCCGACGCACUCCGAGCCCCCUGACGAGCAGUUCUAACAAGAAAGAAAAGAGGAGCGAGGUGUUGCUGAACCUGCAAUGUCCGCUGUGUCACACUGAGCUCACAAGGGCAGAGCUGCGCGAUCAUCUGCAGUGUGAGAUUGAGAGGUUGACUCAGUUCAGCCCCAGGUAAGAGGUUCAUGCCAGCCAUUGUGUAAGGAGCUCUGUGUAUUUUACUUGAAUUGGUGACUGACUGGUGACUUUAAGUCUCUCUAUAAAAUGGGUCUAAAGUUAACUGCUUAUUUUCUUGCGGGUUAAUUCAUUCAUUGUGUUUGCAUGCUGACUUUUCAUUAAAAAAAUUCACCAUGAAUAAAGCUUGUGUUGUGCUUUCUGAGCACACUGGCAGUGCCCAUGCUCACAUGACUUGUUAAGCAAGGAUGAAGAACAGCCCCGGGGUGGCAUUUGGAGUCUGUGUCUGGCUAGUCUAUGAAAGUCAUUCUUUUGCUGUGUGACAGGAGGU